GAUGAACGCUGGCGGCGUGCCUAAUACAUGCAAGUCGAGCGAACGGACGAGAAGCUUGCUUCCUUGCUGUUAGCGGCGGAGGGGUGAGUAACACGUGGAUAACCAACCUAUAAGACUGGGAUAACUUCGGGAAACCGGAGCUAAUACCGCAUAAUAUUUUAAACCGCAUGGUUCAAAAGUGAAAGACGGUUUUGUUGUCACUUAUAAAUGUAUCCGCGCUGCAUUAGCUAGUUGGUAAGGUAACGGCUUACCAAGGCAACGAUGCAUAGCCGACCUGAGAGGGUGAUCGGCCACACUGGAACUGAGACACGGUCCAGACUCCUACGGGAGGCAGCAGUAGGGAAUCUUCCGCAAUGGGCGAAAGCCUGACGGAGCAACGCCGCGUGAGUGAUGAAGGUCUUCGGAUCGUAAAACUCUGUUAUUAGGGAAGAACAUAUGUGUAAGUAACUGUGCACAUCUUGACGGUACCUAAUCAGAAAGCCACGGCUAACUACGUG
rnacentral:rRNA from 1 species